GACGAACGCUGGCGGCGUGCUUAACACAUGCAAGUCGAACGGACAGGCCCCUUUGGGGGUACUCGAGUGGCGAACGGGUGCGUAACACGUGCGUAACCUGCCCUUGACUUUGGGAUUACUUCAGGAUACUGGGGCUAAUACCGGAUCGGAAUCCUUGCUGCAUGGUGGGGGUUCGAAAGCUUCGGCCGGUUUGGCUGGCCUUGAGACUUAUCAGCUUGUUGCGGGGGUUGUGGCUUACCAAAGCUUUUACGGGUAGCCGGCCUGCGUAGGCGACCUGCCACACUGACACUGAGAGACGGCCCAGACUCCGACGGGAGGCAGCAGGGGGGAAGAUUGCACAAGGGGCGGAAGGCGGAUGCAGCAAGGCCGCGGGCGGGAGGACGGUCUUCGGGUUGUAAACCGCUUUCAGCAGGGGCGAAGCUUGUGGUGACGGUACCUGCAGAAGAAGCACCGGCUAACUACGUG
rnacentral:rRNA from 1 species